CCUACGGGAGGCAGCAGUGAGGCAUAUUGGUCAAUGGCCGGAAGGCUGAACCAGCCAAGCCGCGUGAAGGACGAAGGUGCCAAGCAUUGUAAACUUCUUUUGUCAAGGGACAAAAUCAGGCUCGAGAGCCUGACCGAGGGUACUUGAAGAAAAAGCAUCGGCUAACUCCGUGCAAGCAGCCGCGGUAAUACGGAGGAUGCGAGCGUUAUCCGGAUUUAUUGGGUUUAAAGGGUGCGUAGGCGGGCUGUUAAGUCAGCGGUAAAAGCCCGGGGCUAAACCCCGGCGAGCCGUUGAAACUGGCUGUCUUGAGAUGUCGAGAGGUAUGCGGAAUGCGCAGUGUAGCGGUGAAAUGCUUAGAUAUUGCGCAGAACUCCGAUUGCGAAGGCAGCAUACCGGCGGCGAUCUGACGCCGAGGCACGAAAGCGUGGGUAUCGAACAGGAUUAGAUACCCUUGUAGUC
rnacentral:rRNA from 1 species